AUUGAACGCUGGCGGCAGGCCUAACACAUGCAAGUCGAGCGGAGCGGCGGACGGGUGGGUAAUGACUGGGGAUCUACCUGUUAGUGGGGGAUAACUUCCGGAGGCGGGCGCUAAUACCUCAUGCUAUCAGAUGGACCUAGGUCGGUUUAGCUAGUUGGGGGGGUAAAGCCUUACCAAGGAGACGAUCAGUAACUGGUCUGAGAGGAUGAUCAGUAACACUGGUACUGAGACACGGCCCAGACUCCGACGUGAGGCAGCAGUGGGGAAGAUUGGACAAUGGGCGAAAGUCUGAUCCAGCAAUGCCGUGUGUGUGAAGAAGGUCUUCGGAUUGUAAAGCACUUUUAUUAGGGAGGCGUUACCAACAGAAUAAGCACCGGCUAACUACGUGCCAGCAGCCGCGGUAAUAC
rnacentral:rRNA from 1 species